CAGUCGCCGCGGUAAUACAGAGGGUGCAAGCGUUAAUCGGAAUUACUGGGCGUAAAGCGCGCGUAGGUGGUUUGUUAAGUUGAAUGUGAAAUCCCCGGGCUCAACCUGGGAACUGCAUCCAAAACUGGCGAGCUAGAGUAGGGGAGAGGGUGGUGGAAUUUCCUGUGUAGCGGUGAAAUGCGUAGAUAUAGGAAGGAACACCAGUGGCGAAGGCGACCACCUGGGCUCAUACUGACGCUGAGGUACGAAAGCGUGGGGAGCAAACAGGAUUAGAUACCCGUGUAGUCCCUGUCUCUUAUAC
rnacentral:rRNA from 1 species